UACGUAGGGACCGAGCGUUAUCCGGAUUCAUUGGGCGUAAAGAGCUCGUAGGCGGCUAUCCAAGUCGAACGUGAAAUCUCGGAGCUCAACUCCGGGCCUGCAGUCGAUACGGGCAAACUGGAGUGUUGCAGGGGAGACUGGAAUUCCUGGUGUAGCGGUGAAAUGCGCAGAUAUCAGGAGGAACACCGGUGGCGAAGGCAGCCUCCUGGGCCAAUACUGACGCUCAUGCACGAAAGCGUGGGGAGCAAACAGG
rnacentral:rRNA from 1 species